rnacentral:rRNA from 1 species
UUGUUGGUAAGGUAAAAGCUUACCAAGGCUUCGAUCAGUAGCUGGUCUGAGAGGACGGCCAGCCACACUGGGACUGAGACACGGCCCAGACUCCUACGGGAGGCAGCAGUGGGGAAUUUUGGACAAUGGGGGCAACCCUGAUCCAGCCAUGCCGCGUGAGUGAAGAAGGCCUUCGGGUUGUAAAGCUCUUUCAGCCGGAACGAAACGGUUACGGUUAAUACCCGUGACUACUGACGGUACCGGAAGAAGAAGCACCGGCUAACUACGUGCCAGCAGCCGCGGUAAUACGUAGGGUGCAAGCGUUAAUCGGAAUUACUGGGCGUAAAGCGUGCGCAGGUGGUUUUGUAAGUCAGAUGUGAAAUCCCCGGGCUUAACCUGGGAACUGCGUUUGAAACUACAAGGCUAGAGUGUGGCAGAGGGGGGUGGAAUUCCGCGUGUAGCAGUGAAAUGCGUAGAUAUGUGGAGGAACACCGAUGGCGAAGGCAGCCCCCUGGGUCAACACUGACGCUCAGGCACGAAAGCAUGGGGAGCAAACAGGAUUAGAUACCCUGGUAGUCCAUGCCCUAAACGAUGUCAACUAGUUGUCGGGCCUUAACGGGCUUGGUAACGUAGCUAACGCGUGAAGUUGACCGCCUGGGGAGUACGAUCGCAAGAUUAAAACUCAAAGGAAUUGACGGGGACCCGCACAAGCGGUGGAUUAUGUGGAUUAAUUCGAUGCAACGCGAAAAACCUUACCUACCCUUGACAUGUAUCGAAGCCCGCAGAGAAGCGGGUGUGCCCGAAAGGGAACGAUAACACAGGUGCUGCAUGGCUGUCGUCAGCUCGUGUCGUGGGAUGUUGGGUUAAGUCCCGCAACGAGCGCAACCCUUGUCAUUAAUUGCCAUCAUUUAGUUGGGCACUUUAAUGAGACUGCCGG